AUUUGUUUAUAUUAAUCUUAAUUUCGACUUAAGUAAAGUUCAUACAUAUA
rnacentral:tRNA from 1 species